UACGUAGGUGGCGAGCGUUGUCCGGAUUUACUGGGCGUAAAGAGCGCGCAGGCGGUCGUGCAAGUCGCGUGUGAAAGCCCCCGGCUCAACUGGGGAGGGUCACGCGAUACUGCUCGACUCGAAGGCAGGAGAGGGAAGUGGAAUUCCCGGUGUAGUGGUGAAAUGCGUAGAUAUCGGGAGGAACACCAGUGGCGAAGGCGACUUCCUGGGCUGUUUCUUGACGCUGAGGCGCGAAAGCUAGGGGAGCAAACGGG
rnacentral:rRNA from 1 species